AUGUCAGGUUCAUCUCUCGAUCCCCUCUCCCCCAACUCCCCUUCUCUCUCUCUCUCUCUCUCUGUGUCUCCCUUUCCUCCUUUCCUCUCCCCCAUCUCUCUUUUUGGCUGUCUCUGUCUCUCUCUUUUCUGUUUCUCUCUGUGUCUCUGUUUCUUCCCUCUAUGUGUGUCUCUCUGUCUCUUCUCUCCUUCCGUCUCUCUGUCUCUGUCUCUCUGUGCGUGUACAUGUCUCUCUGUCUCUGCCACUCCUCCCUCCCUUCUUCCGUCUCUCUGUGCGUCUCUGUCUCUGUCUCUCUCCUCCCUCCCUCCUUCCGUCUCUCUGUGCGUCUCUGUCUCUGUCUCUCUCUCCUCUCUCCCUCCUUUCCGUCUCUCUCUGUCUCUGUCUCUCUCCUCCCUCCUUCCUUCCGUCUCUCUGUGCGUCUCUCUGUCUCUCUAUCUCUGUCUCUGUCUCUCUCUUCUGUCUCUGUCUCUGUCUCUCUCUGUCUCUCUGUCUCUCUCUGUCUCUGUCUCUCUGUCUCUGUCUCUCUGUCUCUCUCUGUCUCUGUCUGUCUCUGUCUCUGUGUCUCUGUGUCUCUCUGUCUCUGUUUCUGUCUCUGUCUCCCCCCUCUCUGUCUCCUUUUCCGCAUUGGGGCGGGGGGCGGGUGAGGAGAAGAGGGAUGGGCUGGGCGGCCGCUGCCCGAGCAGCCCGCUCCGGGCAAAGCCUUUGUUACCUCCCGAGCGACCCAGGGCGCAGAGCGAGGCGAGAGCAGGGAAGGCGCUCUCGUCGGGCCGGCCAGGGAGCGAUUUAAAGAGAAAGGGAGGCACUGGGAGGAGAGACGGGCUUGUGCCGGCCCGGCGGGGGGCAGGGGGGGGGGAGGGGGGGGGCUCUGGGACUGGGGCUCCGCCCCUUCUCACUUCCUGCUCUGGGGAGUGUCUGCAAAGGCCGAACUGGGGGAAAAACGGCCAGAAAACAAAGCCUCUUUCCCGGAGAAGUUCUGGUUGCUCUCCGCCUCUCUGUCUCUGGCCCCCGGAGCUUAGAGAGAACCUCCCGGGCGAGACUCGGACCCUCGGGCGCACAGCCUCGGAGCGGCGGGUCUUCGUCUCGGCUCCUCGGGGCAGCCUGUGGGUGCCGGCGGAGCCUGCUUUCGUCUGGGGGGGAGGGGAAGCCCGACGGGCUUCUUAA
rnacentral:lncRNA from 1 species